UACGUAGGGUGCGAGCGUUAAUCGGAAUUACUGGGCGUAAAGCGUGCGUAGGCGGUUCGCUGUGUCCGAUGUGAAAGCCCCGGGCUUAACCUGGGAAUGGCAUUGGAAACUGGCGGGCUUGAGUGCGGCAGAGGGGGGUGGAAUUCCGCGUGUAGCAGUGAAAUGCGUAGAGAUGCGGAGGAACACCGAUGGCGAAGGCGGCGAUCUGGGUCGAUACUGACGCUGAGGUGCGAAAGCGUGGGGAGCAAACAGG
rnacentral:rRNA from 1 species